UGGGGAAUUUUGGACAAUGGGCGCAAGCCUGAUCCAGCCAUGCCGCGUGCGGGAAGAAGGCCUUCGGGUUGUAAACCGCUUUUGUCGGGGAAGAAAUACGCCGGGCUAACAUCCUGGCGGGAUGACGGUACCCGAAGAAUAAGCACCGGCUAACUACGUGCCAGCAGCCGCGGUAAUACGUAGGGUGCAAGCGUUAAUCGGAAUUACUGGGCGUAAAGCGUGCGCAGGCGGUUGUGCAAGACAGAUGUGAAAUCCCCGGGCUCAACCUGGGAACUGCAUUUGUGACUGCACGGCUGGAGUGCGGCAGAGGGGGAUGGAAUUCCGCGUGUAGCAGUGAAAUGCGUAGAUAUGCGGAGGAACACCGAUGGCGAAGGCAAUCCCCUGGGCCUGCACUGACGCUCAUGCACGAAAGCGUGGGGAGCAAACAGGAUUAGAUACCCUGGUAGUCCACGCCCUAAACGAUGUCAACUGGUUGUUGGGUGGGUUUCUACUCAGUAACGUAGCUAACGCGCGAAGUUGACCGCCUGGGGAGUACGGCCGCAAGGUUG
rnacentral:rRNA from 1 species